UUAAACAAGGAUAGAAUCAUGUGCAUUAAAAGUUAUUCUUGGAUUAUCUGUCGAGGGAUUAUUACUUGAUGAUGAUAUAACAUGAAUAUUAUUUGGUGUAUUUAGUCUAUGAAAAUGGUUAAAUUUGUUUAAUGAAUUAGAAAAUACUAGAUGCAACAGUAUAUUGGCUUUUAUUUAUUGUUCUUGUCAAAUUAUCUGUGUUCUUUUUGUUUUUGAGCAAGCUGCAUGGGCCACAAAGCAAACUGCAAUUUCUCCCAUCCUUGGGGGAGGUAUUGAGCAAUUAUACUUGAGGUUAAUAACAUGCAUUUUUGAUGACCAAUUUUCCCAAACUUCUUGCAGGAUGUUGAAAUGCGUAGAGGGAAACCACUGUAUCUGAACGAAGAACGUUAUGCGGCUUUGACUCAUAUGGUAAAGUUGAAAUGUUUGUUUUUAUCUGUUGACUUCCUUAUGGCACUUGUAUGCUGAAACCUCUGAAAAUGAAUUCGAUAAAUUAAAUAACAUCGCUGAAUUUGUGACAUCUUUUCUUCCCAACUGGCCUAGUGUAAUAAAUUAAUAACCUCGCUAAAUGCAUAAAAUAAUAAUUUUUUUAAAAAUCCGC
rnacentral:lncRNA from 1 species